UCGGGUAUGGUGUAACGGCUAACAUUGCCGCCUCUCAUUAUGGUUGAUAUUCGUAUGUUGGUGCGCGGCAGCUCGGGGUUCGAUUCCCCGUACCCGAA